rnacentral:lncRNA from 1 species
GUCAGUCAUUGUUAGCAGAUAGUGCUGUCUUUUAGCUAAUGGGCUGAGUGAGUGAGAGGGCAGCAAGGCUUCAGAGGGAAGAGACAUAGGCAGAGCAGCAAUACUCAGGAAAGAAGUGGACAGAUGGCCGUAGCAGUGAUCAUCAUCACUUGUGCGGUUCUAUCAAUCUACCUAUGCAUUUCUACACCACCUCUCACCAGAGUGCUUGCCUCCUGUUCUCCCUAAGCAAUGAGGUUAAUAUUGAAGAACCGGGUACAUCCAUGGUGCUCGCAGCAUCCAGACGGAGAGGACACAACCCAUCUACGAAGCAUCAGCUUCCACAUCCUAACCACAUCCCUGUCCUUUAUUUCUUUCCCACAAUCCAUCAAUGCUGUACUUUUCCACCUUUGGCAUUAACAAGACGUCUUCUCCCACUUGAUAGAAUCCUGCUGAUCUCUCACUGCCACAGAAGCCAGAAAGCAGGAGAUUCUGGGUUGAAAAUCAGAGGCCACAUCUCAGGACUUAGAGGAAAGUGAUGAGUGGAGAACAAGAUGCUCAUCUCAGCACGGCGUGAGAUAAUGGUCACUCUUCCAGGAAACCUGGUCAUCUUCCCUUGUGAAGGUGGUGAGUGAUGGCUGCCUGGUGUGUCUAAGUUGUAUUCACAUGGCUCCUGAGAGCUGACUGAUUUUAAUGCCUG